UCCUCGAUCUCCACCUCAUCGUGAAACACCGCCAUGGUCACUGGGUGGACGCUUCAUCAGUUUGCUUAACUCGGUCCGUGAUGGAAGGUCUGGACUUCCCGGCUGACCCAGAAGCAGGGACAAUCACUUCUGGGCAGCGCAAGGCGAUGACGUAACUUUGACAGCGGUCGCCAUGGAGAUAGCCGAGCUGGGGGACUUAUUGCCGCAAAGGUGGCGCUUACUGCGCAGCUGGUUUGCGCAGCGGUCUGCCCACUGGGUGGCAGUGACCAAUAGUGUGAGGGGCUCUCUCACACGGCUGCUACGUCACUCCGGGGCCGUGGAGUUCGGGUCUGGGUUGUAACUGAGUUGUGUCCUUUGCCUGAGGAGUCUCGUCCAUCACUGACUUCAGGGGCGCCUGGUCACCGAGGCCCAGGGACCCACGCAGCGUCCUCUCCAGUCCGCAGUGGUCGACACACAGCGCUCCUGGAAUUGCAUUUCAGCCGACCUUGAGCUCAGAGAAGCCUGACCUGUUGUAGUUCCUGCCUGCAGGUACAUCGCUGUCUGUCUCACUCCAGCCACCUUCAGAUACGCUGAGCUGUGUUGUAGAGGAGCAAGAUCUGGAAGACAGGGACGAAUUCUAGCGCUGUUUGCAGUAUUCACUAUAGAGAUAGGAACUUGGUGGGAAUUUCAGUAUAUGGAAAACUGUGUUCCAGCUGGUGUGAAUCCAGAGGUCUUAGUAUAGUAUUGGGACCAAAAUAUCGUGUCAGACAGCUGAGGACUCCCAGAAUCCCAUGGGUUUCUAAAAACCUAAGUUUUCUGAAGCUUUCUUCAAACCUGCACUGCCAAAGCUUAGGUAAGUGCCUGCUUCAUACUUGGCCCUUAAUAGUUUUCAUUGAAUGAAAAACUACCAAAACUUUAUUGUUGGCUUGAAUAUUCUCCUAACACUAAACUUAUUACAGUCAACUCAUACAGCACUUUCUAAAAUGCUUGGGAAAGACAUGUUUUAUUCUCAAAGCUAUGAAGGAGAGAGCCAGCCAAAAUGGUAAUACAGCAUGGAAAAUGUAGGUGUUAAGGCUAAGAAGUAUUUUUUAAAUGUCACAAGAAAGUAAGUGUGGGAGGCAAAGGAUAGGUGACCUGACUCUUAAUAGGUGUUUUACUUGAUCGUCUUGUGAUUUUAAGAUAUCCUGACGGGGUGACGGCACAUGUUUGUAACUCCAGUACAAGACAGGAAGAGCCCAAGUUUGAGGCCAGGUUAGGGAACACAGUGAGUUCAAGGCCAGCCUGGGCACUUAGUAAGCUUGUCUCCUAAACCCAAAAGGAAAACAAAAGUGAAGUGUUGAGAAUCUUCCUGUUUUGUUUUGUUUUUAUUGAAGGAUAACAUACAGACAAAGUAUCCAGCUACAAGGACAGCUUGCAGAUUUUACAAAGUGGACCUACUGAGGCACUCAGCAUCCAUCCAUAUAAAGAAACUGCAUUGUUAACAGCUACUUUCCAAGACUGAUUUCUAACAUUAUAGGGUUUUUUUUUUUUAUCUUGGCACAUUGUAUAGUCGAUAUCAAAGAAUAUGUGCUCUUUGGAGUCUGGCUGCUUUCAUCUCAUUGAGUACCUGCAACCUAUAAUUGAGUAUUACUGUGUGUAAGUGAAAUGUAUGCACUGCCAUUGAUGCUGUGUGUAGUACAUGAAUGUAUCACCCUUCAUUUACUACUGUUUGUGGUCUUUUGGAUAGUUACUAGUUUGGUCUGUUAUAAAUAGUAUUAUCUAUUUGUUUUAAAUAUUUGUGAACCUUAAGCUUUUAUAAAUACAGUUCUUAAAAGACUUACUUUUAGCCAGGCAGUGGUGGCACAUCCCUUUAAUCCCAGCACUUGGGAGGCAGAGGCAGGAGGAUCUCUAGGUUUGAGGACAACUUGGUCUACAGAGCGAGUUCCAGGGCAGCCAGGGCUACACAGAGAAACCGUGUCUUGAAAAUCGCCCCCCCCCCCAUCCUGCCUAGGGUCAGGAUAGCAAGUUUAAUAAGCACCAGAAGUUCCCAGUGCAUAGGAGACAGAAUAUGGCAUCCAUUGGGCUGCCAUAGUCUAGAG